CCUUAAAAUAGGCAUUUAACCUCUGCUUGCUCCAGGGAUUUCUCCUAUUUCUUUUUGCAGUUAAUGUAAAGAAGCUCAAUGCAUACGAUAUAGCUAACAAAGAAGUGAAGUUUAAGUAUCUCCAAAGCACUGAAUCCAACAACAACAACAACAACAACAACAACAGUAUUUGUUCCUUCAUUGCGGUUACGGAUCUGCAGUAGGUGGCGAUAAUUCUCCUAAGGAGUUAAUCGCCAUUAAGUAAGAAGAAGAUGUUACACAUCCUGACCACCUGAUGUCACUAAAGGUAAACAUUUGAGGCUGUUCUAUUGAAAUGAAUGAGAAAUCUAGGGAAAUUCAGAUGAUGACAGGCUACAUUGGAUUUUCAAUGUUUGACCCAUUUCUUGAGCACAUUACCCUCCCAGUCAGCAGAGAGCCAGAUUGUUUUCCUCGGCUAAGUUUAGAAGCACCGUUUGGGGAUUCCAUCUUCGGAGAACUGACACAGGCCAUAACUAUAUUCUGAGCAUGUUUUCUUCUCUCUUCCUCAUUCUCUCAGCCACUGGCACACCUUUGAUCAACACAAAAUGUUCCAUUGUGGAUGCUAUUUUUUUCCCACUCAUGUCCUAAUGAAAAAGGUCUUUCAGAUAUGUUAACAGUCUCAGAACAGGAAAAUCAAACAUUUUUGACCAUCACAAUCAAAUCUACAGUACAUGUACAGUACAAAUAAUGUUAAUGAGAAUAUAAAGAGCUAUUUAGUGUCAAUAGACAAAACUAAAAUGAUGAGCUGGCAGCUUUCAUUUGUACAAAAAUCUGUUGUGAGUCACAGUCUAACAGCGCCUCAUCCUUAAUGUUGUCAUCAGAAAAACCGCCAUCAGGUAAUCAUGUGAGCCAAUAAUGAGCUGCAUUCCAUUACUCUGAAGAAUCCUAUAGUCAGGAUAUUUAAUACACUCUGGGUGGAUGAAGGAUUAUAUUUAUAGAAGGGCUGGUGCCAUGUUACUCUCGCGUUUUCAUUCAGCCCGUCUUCUUGGAUAGAAUUUUAGCAUGAUUCAUUUCUAUUUUGCACUCUUCUAUAUCCAUUUGCUCAUGGCAGGAACAAAACACUUGUGACAGGGAUAUUUUAGUACUGAGCCUGUGAUUAAAUCUGGAUUUACUAGUGUUGCCUGGUUUGCUUGUUUACAUCUCAUUGGUGAUAAAGGACUAAAUAUUUUCACACUCACGCCUGCUGACUGGAUUAUACUGUGUUCAGCCAAUUUUCCUCUGAAAGUUUGUUCAUUCAACAAAAUUGUUUUGUUAUUGAACUUGGUUAUAAAUUAUUUUAAAUGGAAUCAAGACAUGAAUAAAG
ensembl:lncRNA